GCGCCCGUAGCUCAGCCGGAUAGAGCACUUGAUUCCUAAUCAAGAUGUCGCAGGUUCGAGUCCUGCCGGGCGCGCCA
rnacentral:tRNA from 1 species